AGAGUUUGAUCCUGGCUCAGAAUCAACGCUGGCGGCGUGCCUAACACAUGCAAGUCGAACGAGAAAGGGUAGCAAUACCUGAGUAAAGUGGCGCACGGGUGAGUAACACGUGACUAACCUACCCUGGAGUGGGGGAUAACUGAGGGAAACCUUAGCUAAUACCGCAUAAUACCCACGGGUCAAAGGAGCAAUUCGCUCUGGGAGGGGGUCGCGGCCGAUUAGUUAGUUGGCGGGGUAAUGGCCCACCAAGACUGUGAUCGGUAUCCGGCCUGAGAGGGCGCACGGACACACUGGAACUGAAACACGGUCCAGACUCCUACGGGAGGCAGCAGUGGGGAAUUUUGCGCAAUGGGGGAAACCCUGACGCAGCAACGCCGCGUGGAGGAUGAAGUACUUCGGUACGUAAACUCCUUUCGAUCGGGACGAUUAUGACGGUACCGGAAGAAGAAGCCCCGGCUAACUUCGUGCCAGCAGCCGCGGUAAUACGAGGGGGGCAAGCGUUGUUCGGAAUUAUUGGGCGUAAAGGGUGCGUAGGCGGUUUGGUAAGUCUGAUGUGAAAUCUAUGGGCUCAACUCAUAGACUGCAUCGGAAACUGCCGGGCUUGAGUGUGGGAGAGGUGAGUGGAAUUUCCGGUGUAGCGGUGAAAUGCGUAGAUAUCGGAAGGAACACCUGUGGCGAAAGCGGCUCACUGGACCACAACUGACGCUGAUGCACGAAAGCUAGGGGAGCAAACAGGAUUAGAUACCCCGGUAGUCC
rnacentral:rRNA from 1 species